rfam:Monodelphis domestica cont3.060701, whole genome shotgun sequence.
CGCCUCAGCAUUGUACCCAGAGUCUGCCCUACAGACAUUGCACCUGGAGCUGUGGGGCGAAAAUAAAAUGUUGGA